GCAGUCAUUUCCCAUGUAUACAACUGAUUGUUCCUUCCUAAGUGGAGUACUUUGCAUUUGUCCUUAUUGAAUUUUAUCCUAUUUACUUCAGAUCAUUUUGAAUUUUAAUCCUCUUCUCCAAAUGGGAGUCUUGUCAUUGACUUAAUGGGCUUUGGAUCUGCUCAAAGUUCACAACUCAAAGAAAACUUUAAACGUGAAAUUGGGUUUCUGGGCUACAUUUUUAAGUGUGGUGGGCCGUAUAAGCAUGUUUGCUUAUAUACACAACCAGUCCAUUCAAAACAAUGAAGCAGAUGCACAUUUUGAUAGAAACAAAUAUUUAUUGGAGAAUUCGUGCACUUUGGAUAAAACAGCAGGAGGAAAUCAUAUGUGCUAUGCAAAGGUGUCCUAUUGUAUGGUUCACCAGGCUGUGAGUACAAGUAUGAUAUACGGUAAAGGCAACUGCACCAGGUGGCUGUAGUAACAUAGAAACACACAUGCAUGCUCUCAAAUCAGGAAUGUCAUGAUCUGGUACGGAUUAGAUGUAGCCGUGUGGUACCAAAAAUUAAUUGGCAGUUGCUGUGCAGAAUAAGAAUCGAGCUUAUUGCUUUCGACUUUUUAUGUUGUGUGUGAAAGUCCGGAAAUGUCGUGAAUGGUGCUCAUCCCACAGAAGCAGAACAGCAGGAGCUGUGGACUCAUACACAAUUAUUUUUUAAAUUAUUGGUUCCUUUAGGGUAGAAAAGGUUGUGAUUCUUAUGUGUCCAUUUCUGUUUGCUCUGAAGUUGCUUAACCUCUGGCUGUGUUUAACCAAAUGACAGCUGCGGAGCGUUGGAGGGACUGUACGUCCAGGCGAUAAGCAUGUGCCGCGCUGCUGAGCAUUAGCAGUUGCCUACUGAAGUUCCACUAACUCCAGGGGAACGUUAAAGGGUAACGACAGAACAGAAGAGGACCAGCGGCAAUCAGACUUAAAGGAUGAAGCUGGAGAAAUAUCCACAAAUUAUCUGGAUUAGUGGAUGUAAAUUCUUACAUAGUUGCUGUUAAAAAUUAAGGUUUACCUGUGCACCACAACUCAUGGCGUUUAAUUCCAGUCACUUAAGGAAACAAGACUUUGCUUUUGGAACUGUACAAAAUUUACACUGCAAUGGGCGGCUGUGGUGGACCGGGGAGGAGGGAGCGUCGAGCUGUGGAAAAGAGCCUGGGGAGCCAUACUACGGUAGAAACUGCAUUUAAAAAAGAAAAAAAUACAAGCAGCUUCCGUGCUACAGGAUCCACGAUGCUGUGUUUGUUCUGGGUCUCUCUUCCGCUGUCAGAGCAGGUGUCUGUGGGCGUGAGCCUUCGGGGGGAAGGCCUGAGGCGCGCUGAGAGCUCCUGAUCUCAGGCGAGGCUCGCUGCAGGAAGCUAGCUCAUUCACCAGCGACUAGCACAGAGGGUGGCCAAUGUGGAGGUGCUGCCAGACAGCCUGGCAGCGAGGUUGCUGAGCUCUGUUUUUCCCUCAGUCGCUGUGUCAGUGCGGUUGGAGCUACUCCUGCAGAGGUGACCAACCAGCAAAUCCGAGCGAGAGGGAGCAUGCGCCGCUGCGGUGCUUUUCAUUUAGCUUUCAGCAUGCCCAGAGCCCUUCGACAGCAGGCAGUAAACCACAGCCCAUUUCUGCCUCACUCAAUUCUUCAGCCCUCCAGUUCCAGCUUUUAAAGUGCAAUGUUUAAACAUGAGCAUCUCCCCCCACCUGCCUCCACGGACUAGCGAUGCCAGAGCGAUGAGUUCUAGGCUGCUCCAGGUAGAGGCUACCAGCAGGCACGCGUUUGCCUGGUGGAGAGCAAAGAGCUGUGGACGAUGGGAUGCCCUACAUUAGACCAGCAUACCCUGGAAUGCUCUUUCUGAGGACCAGGGGACACUAAGGGGGGAGACAGAUUACUGUGUGCUUAGUCAAUGUAGUUUCUGGUUGAGGGGCUGGGGUCAUUUAUACCAGGCUUUAAUCCUUCCUACAGGCCCCAGCCAAAUUCCAGUGACUGGAGCCUGGAGGAAGAAGUUCUGGUGCACAGGGAGUUCUCUGGAUACAUUUGCUGGUGACCUUAUGGUGUAAAUUGCAGGGGCAGCUGGCCACAAGCCACUUGAGUGGCUCAGGGUGGAAGCUACACUCAUCUGGCACUCUGUGGGUGCACUCUACAAGGGGCCACACCUGCUAAUAGGGGGUGCCUGGAUCAGAGCUUUGGUGCCUAAAACAAAGGUAGGGUCAGAUUUCCAAAAGCACUUUCGGAGCACAGGGUCUAUUGAAAGGCAGAGGGGUCUGUGCUUCACCGAACCUUGGGCUUUUUGAAAAUCCAUCCAUAGAUCUUUAUGGAAAAGUCCUACAGGAUUUAAUAGAACAUGACUCCCUUUGGCCAUAGUAUGGUUUGAACCAUCCUUUAGAACUUGUACACCUGCACUAAAAGCUACA